CAUCCCUAAUACCUUGGACUUUGUAUUUGUUCGUCUGAUCAACUAAUUCAGUAGCAUGUGAAUAGUAGAAUUGGAUAAAUUAAAAUUCUGCUGAAUCGAGAUGGGCCUGGAUUAGUAUUAUAAUUUGCAUGCUGUUGGAUCCUAUUGCACACAGUCAUUCUUCGUGCUUUUAAAGCACAUCAUGACAUCUGGUACCAGUAUAAAUGGAUUGCUCAAGGGUUUUCGACACCAUUAUACUUCUAUCUCCUCAAUUUAUUACAUUUUCAAAAUUUCUCUGAAAGGCACAAAUAGAUUUGGCAACAAAGUGCAUGGAAACUUUCUCAAUUCUCUAAUUUGUGGUCCAUCUACUAGUUCGUCGACAACCAACUAGGAAGAUUAGUUGAUAUUCCUUUAUUUGGGCUCUACAGAUAAGGUGUGUAUAGUGAAGCUUACAUGUCCAAUUAGGUAAUGUUCUACCUUUUGUUAAGAGAUGCAAAAUUUACCAGUGCAAGUCAAUGCCUCAAUGGUGU